rnacentral:rRNA from 1 species
UACGAAGGGGGCGAGCGUUGUCCGGAAUUAUUGGGCGUAAAGAGCUUGUAGGCGGUCUGUCGCGUCUGCUGUGAAAAUCCGGGGCUCAACCCCGGACUUGCAGUGGGUACGGGCAGACUAGAGUGUGGUAGGGGAGACUGGAAUUCCUGGUGUAGCGGUGAAAUGCGCAGAUAUCAGGAGGAACACCGAUGGCGAAGGCAGGUCUCUGGGACGUUACUGACGCUGAGACGCGAAAGCGUGGGGAGCGAACAGG